rnacentral:rRNA from 1 species
CAAAACGACUCUCGGCAACGGAUAUCUCGGCUCUCGCAUCGAUGAAGAACGUAGCGAAAUGCGAUACGUGGUGUGAAUUGCAGAAUCCCGUGAACCAUCGAGUUUUUGAACGCAGUUGCGCCCGAAGCCUUCUGGUUGAGGGCACGUCUGCCUGGG